UUCAUUGUUUGUAAUGAGCUCCCAAGAGUUUGGUUGUAGAAUCUUAAUCAUAAGAUCUGUGGGAUGAUUCCAAGAGGCAGUUUCACAAGGCCCCAAAUGCAGAGUAUGAAAGGGGAAGAAUUUCAGGAGUUGAUCAUUCCAAUCUAUUGCUCAAGGAGUCUCUAAAAGAAAAGAGGAAGACUCUUGGCAGAAGGCUGUCACAAUGCCAGGGGACUGCCGAGGACAGAGUCUCUCUUCUUAUCACUGAGAUGUGAAAUGGUUGCUGAAGAUUUCAUAGUUAAGUAGCUAAAAUGAAUUGCAGAGUUCCCUCAGUGGAGUGAGAGAAUGAACAGGAACAGGGUGAAGAGGGGAAAGUACAUGUGAAGAAGAACCAUGAAAAUCCCUUCAGAGCUUGGGGCUCCUUGACACAAGAUAAUUCUUCCUCCUCAAGGUACAUUGAUUAGGAGGUGAAUUUUGCAGCCGAAAACACAAACCUACUCGCAUUGGCUUAAAUAGUCUUUUUUCUCUCACAUAGCAAGGAAUCUAGAAGUGGGCAGAGCUCGCUGAGCUCUCGGUUUGUAACGGACUCAGGUUUCUUCUUAGCUUCCACUCGCCAUUGAGAAACUGCAACCACCUACAGUAGAGUGAGUGGGACUCAGAACGGGGACCACCCGUGUCAACUGCUGGCUUAAAAAAAAAUGAGAAUUUGGGAACAAAGACUGGAUGUGGAAAUGCUCAACCAAGCAUGGCUUAGUUGUUGGUUCUAGAAAACUUCGCCCAAGGAAGUAACUAACCAAUGUUGCUUCAGGAAAUUUCUGCCUGUCAGUGUAUCUGAGGCCACAGUCUGCUCACUUGGGCAAACAGGUCACUUUCAGCAACAGUUUUCUUAUCAAGACUCUCUGCUGAGACUGUCAAGGGGGCGUGCUCCCCUCCUGCAACGCGUUCUAAUCAACUGAAUGUUGCUAUAUUAACAGGUUGCCUGGUGAUAUUUGGGGGAUUUCAAUACCUUCCUUAGCUUGUGCUUUCUGUCCUCUAUUCAGAGAUAACAUAUUUUUAUUCCAGGUUCAAAGAAAUGGGGAAGGGUAAAGGGUAGAAAGCACAUGCCAACAAAAUCUUACCUUUUAUUAACAACUUGGAUUGUUGAAAAGUGAGGGCUGCAGGACCACACUCUGCUGUUAGGAAGACCAAACUGGUUUCCUUUGUCCCGUAAAAUGACCCUCAGAGUGGGAUGUGUCCUCCUAAGUCAGGCUCCUAUCUUCUUAUCCUGGUAUUCUCUCAGUGCCUAAUGUGAGGACUUGCCCUCAAGGAUGUGUUCAGAAAAAGAUGGUUGGAUGACAUAGAAAAUUUGCAUGGAGUGAAAUACCUCCAAUGUGGAGCUCUUUAGACUGGAAUUGUCAAAAAUAACUACUGACCGCCCCCCCCCCCAGUACCUGCAGCAACUAUAAAAAUAUAUAUCCUAAGCUAGCCCUCCCUGGGAUGGCCUCUGUGCAUUUAUAAGGCUACGAUAGUGAGAGAACCAGCUCCGAGGAAUCUGGAUCCUCGAGAACUUCGAGUUCUCAGUGGUGGCUUAGGGAGACCCCGUGUUUAAAAAGAAAUCUUUUGCCAAUUUCAAAUCUAGCAUGUGCUUAGCGCAGAAAUUUACACAUUGUUCAAUGAGAACUCUCCCUCCCCAGCGUCCAUAAGCCUGUCCACCACACUUCCCACCAGAGAGUACUGUUGGUAAUACUCCAUUUAUAUCCUUUCAGAGUUUUCAAUGCAUUCAGAAACAUGUGUACAUACAAACCAAACUAAAAAAUAAUUUAUGUUGUAUAAAUCUUAUCACAUAAAAUUUCCCACAAGUUCGUUUCUUUCUAUUAUUUUUUAGAGAAGCUUCCAUGCCAGCACGUGCAGUUCAGCUAAUUCCCUUUAGUCACUACAGUUUCUACUGCAUGAAGGCAUCUAACGUGCAUAACUCAGUCUGCCCCCUGAGCGGGCAUUUUCCCCUCCUCCCCAUUUUUUCCCUUUCCUUCUUUUCCUUUGGCUGUUACAAACAAUUCUAUAAUAAACUUCUUUGUACCCAAGUUUCUUUUCUAACAAUUUUCCUUCUUUCAAGGUUUGUCAGUGUGACGGGUAAAAUGUGCGAUCUCCUUGUUCUUUCACUUGCAUUUCCUUCCUAUGAAUGAGGUGGAGCAUAUUUUAGUCUGUUGGCCAUUUAUGCUUCUUCUGUGAACUGUUUAGAUCUGUGCCAUCCAACAUGAUAGCCACGAGUCAAGUGUGGCUAUCGAACACUUGAAAUGUGCUAGCCUGAACAGAGAUGUGCUAUCGGCACAAAAUACACAAGAGAUUUCAAAGAGUUAGUCUACGGGUAUAAAAUACUGCAUUAAUAUUUUUAUAUUGAUAACAUGUUAAAAUAAUAUUAUACACAUGCUGCUUUCGAUAAUUUUCAUAUGGCUACUGAAAAAUUUUAAAUUACAUAUGUAGCUCACAUGAUAUUCCUGCUGGACAGGAGAUGGUUUCGAUUAGGUGGGUUAUUAUCUUUUUCUUAGUGAUUUAUAGGAGCUCUUGAUAUAUUGUUAGUACCUAUCCGUUGACCACUGUAUUUGCAGCAAAUAUUUCUUCUCAGUCUGUAACUUAAUUUUUAACUUGAAUUAUGGAGUUUCUUGCCAUACAAAAAUUGUUCUUAAGAAGCUGUCCAUUGUUUCCUUUAUCGCCUCCAGGUUUUGUGUCUUGCUGAGGAAAUAUUUCACCAUGUCCAGAUUACAAAAAUAACUUCCUGUAUUUCUGUAAAGUCAUUUCUUUCUUUAAUGGUUGCCUCUUUCAGGCAUCUGGAAUAAUUUUUUUUGUUCGAUGUGAGAUAGCAAGUUUUAAAACUUUUUAUUAAAUCAUAGGAUAGAGAAUUGCACCCCUUCCUUUCCUCACUGAUGUAAAUGAAUUGCUUCCUUCCAUGUAAUUCAAUAUUUCUGUAAGAGGUGAAACAUUUUGAACUCUUUCUUCCAUCUCACCAAUAUAUUUGAUUAUUCCUGCACCAGAAUCUCACUAUUUUAAAUACCAACAUUUUAGAGAUUGUUUCUAUAUUUAGGAGACUAAGCUUUUUCAAGAAUUAAUUCAUGGGCAUGUUCUUUCCCAACAAACUUCAGAAUCAGCUUGCCAACGUCGACAUAAAGUCCUGUUCGAAUUUUGAUUCAGAUUGUGUUGAGUGUAUAGACUACUUUAGGAGAGAACUUACACCUUUACAAUAUUAAAUACAUGUAAGCAGGAACAAGAUACAUCUCUCCAUUUAUUCAUGUCUUUCAAAAAGUGCAUCAGGGGGCUUCCCUGCUGGCACAGUGGUUGAGAGUCCGCCUGCCGAUGCGGGGGACGCAGGUUCGUGCCCCGGUCCGGGAAGAUCCCACAUGCCGCGGAGCGGCUGGGCCCGUGAGCCAUGGCCUCUGAGCCUGCGCGUCCGCAGCUUGUGCUCCGCAACGGGAGGGGCCACAACAGUGAGAGGCCCGCGUACCGCAAAAAAAAAAGUCCAUCAGUAGAGUUUUACACCUUCCUUAAUAUAUGCCUUGCUCAUUAUGUUUCAGGCUUUUUGUUAAUUAUUUUAUUGUUCCUGUUGCCGUCGUGAAUCAAUGUCGCUAUUUUUUCUCUGCAUUUCAUAAUUAUGUUGAUUUUGUAUCCAACAACUUAACCUUCUUUGGAUCUGUUAGUUUUUCACUUAAUUCUCUUUGCUUUUCUAAAUACACGAUUAUCUGAUAUACAGUACUAGGGCUGGCUGAUCCUACUAGCUCAAGAGGGUCAAUUGUUAAGUUUUCAGGAAUCUGGUGGGGUGAUUGGUAAAUACAGUCAUUAAUAAAAAUUAAAUUAUAUAAGUCUACGGUUAAGCAGAUCAUAUUAAAAACAAAGAUAAUAAACGCGCAAACUCAUCAUGUCCGAAUUACUUCGCUUCCCUACGCUCUUCCCCCGCCCCCUUUCCUGUGCCCUGGCAGCUCGGGGACGAGGUGGACACGGGGUCGAGGGGCAGGUGAAGAAGGGGGCAGAGUCAGGGUUGGGCCUGGGCCCUAACCCACCGCGUGGGGCGUAGGGCCCCGACCCCAGAAGGCCGGCCGGCUCUGGUAGGUGCUCCGCGGAAGCCGUGCUUUCUGGCCUUCGUCUCCUCGGCCUCAGGGCCCCGCGCAUCUGUGAACCGCUCCCCUUCGGGCUCACAGCCGGCUCGUCCGCGCAUGGGAGCGGCUGCUCGGGGGCCUCUUUGGGGGCCGGGGAGUGCUCUGGUCCUCUGGCCCCCAGCACCGCUGCUCCUGCGGGCGGAAGGCAGCGGCUCGUCCCUCGGGGGUCUCCUGGCUCGGGCCACCCCAGGCUGCGGGCCCUCCUCCUUCCCCGUUCCCACAGUCCGCGCAGCGUCUUCCGAAGCCCCCAGGCUUCGGCCAGCGCGCCUGGGCCUGCGCCAGCCAACAGCUGGGGAAGAGCCCCGGGGAACGCCCGCCCGGGGGCGCUCCUCCGCAGCCCGGCUGCCUGCCCCUGGGGUCCCCGGCAGCAGCAGGAGAAGACCUAGUCUCUGCUGGGAGCUUCGCCGGGGCCCUGGAGAGAUGGAUACCUGAACUGGGACCUCAGAGCCCUGUGGCUGCAGCUUCCCUUUGUUCCUGGCACCGCGCAACUGCCCUGAAGCUUCUGCACUGCGUCCCCUAGGGUCCCCCUUGGGGUGUGGGCGAAGCCCGGCACGUUGGCCCGCAUCAUCUCGGUGAAGGCUUCCAUAUCCAAGUUCCCUUCCGAUGGCCCCGAGGGGCGCAGGUCCUCAGGGCCCGGAGCACCAGGAAAAGAUGCCCUCCUCCAAGCCACCUGGGGUCAAGGGCACAAGGACUCGGAGCACUGCCCUGGAGAUCCCUCCAUCCAGCCCCGCGCUCUGCCCUCUUCUGCUCGGUUGGGCGCCACCAGCGACUUGUCCCUCGGUGCAGGUCUCACCCGCCUCUUAUCUAUGUGCUGAAAGUUUUUUUUUUUUUAGUAUCUUAAAAACUUUUUUAGUUAAAAAAUGUUUAUUUUAUAUUGGAGUAUAGUUGAUUAACAAUGUUGUGUUAGUUUCGGGUGUUCUGCAACGCGAUUCAGUUAUACAUAUACAUACAUCUAUGCCUUUUCAGAUUCUUUUCCCUUAUAGGUAAUUACAGAAUACUGAGUAGAGUUCCCUGUGCUUUACAGGAGGUCCUUGUCGAUUAUCUAUUUUAUAUAUAGUAGUGUUAAAUGUUACUCCCAACCUCCUAAUUUUUUCAAAUGUUUCUGUACGAUGGGAAUUCUUUGUAAGUGUGUGCUACUGCGGACCUCUUCCAACCUCAUGUUCAGUGAGUUCACAUCGGUAGCUUGAAAGGAACCACGACGAGAGUAUUGACAGCGUGAAAAUCAACAAACACUACAAAUCAGUUCUUCACUAAUCGUUUCGUUAAUUGUCCAGCCUUAACAAAGUCAUGGAGAAAAUGUUAAUAAUGGAGAUUAAAUUUUAAAAUGUGUUACAUCUGUUACCAUUACAUUGUGAAUAGUACCAAAAAAUUGGGGAAAUACUCUUGCAGUAUUUAAAAACUAUUUUUCAGUUUCAUCAAGAAGCUCACAUUGUGGGCCAACAAGUGUAGUUAGGACAAGAUGUCUUACUAUUUUUUUUUUAAUUUUUAUUUUAUAUUGGACUAUAGUUGAUUUAUAACGUCGUGUUAGUUUCAGGUGUACAGCAGAGUGAUUCAGUUAUACAUAUACAUACAUCUAUUCUUUUUCAACUUCUUUUCCCAUUUAGGUUAUUACAGAAUAUUAGGCAGAAUUCCCUGUGCUAUACAGUAGGUCCUUGUUGGUUAUCUCAUCUAUUUUAAAUAUAGUAGGGUGUAUAUGUCAAUCCCAGACUCCCAAUUUAUCCCUCCCAAGUUGUCUUACCCAUUGAUGUAAACAAAAACAUCUAUAGGAACUACACUUAGAGAACCUUCUCACACAUAUCACCACACUCCUGAUGUAAAAGAACGUAAAUAAUGAACGUCUCUCUUCCUUUCAAAAAUUACAUCUCAUUCAUUUUUUUGCACCUACUGCAGGGUACAAUGUGGAAUAACAGAGGUGUUACUUGGCAUUGUUGAUUUGAUCCUUAUAUCAAGAUUUCUAUUUUCUCAUUGAGAAUGAUGUUUACUCUGGUUUCUGGUAGAUACUAGUUAGAAUUCUGGAAUUUCAUUUGAAUACUUUCCUACACACUAAUAGGAAACUUCUGCAGCCUGUUCUUAGUAAAAUUUCCUGUUUGAAAAAAAUUCUUCCAUUUCUACGAAUCUCUAUUUUCUUUCCAAAAUUUUAUGGCCAUAUGGAUUCCAGAGCCCUUGCAGCAUUCGGCACAAUCCCACCGUUAAACACAACACCUCUUUAUGGCUCCUGCAAAAACUCGCUUAGGCUCAUUGUUUCUACCUCCCAGCCUGCCGUCUCUCUUCUGCCCACCGCGUUCGUGCUUUUGUCUUCACCCCAAACCCUGCGCCACUGAAACCACUCUUGCCAAAGUCACAGAGGCUCCACUUUGCCAACUCCAAGGGCAACCCUCUGUCCUCCUCUCAGCAGUAUUAUUAUUGUGCCGUUGACCACCUCUCCUUGAAUCCCUGUCUCUUCUUGGCAUCUGGGCACCAUUCUCUUCUGGUCUUAUUCCCACCUCAUUACCCACUUUUCGGUUUUCUUUGCUUACUCCUCUUCCUCGACCCGGGGCUCAGUCCUCGGCCCUCUUCUCCAUCUACUUCCAUGGCUUUGAGAGCAAAAUGUUUGCUGGUGAUUUACCACAUUGAGAUCUUCGGUGAGCUCCUGUCCAGAGUCUUCAAAUACUUACUCUUAUAUCCGUGCGGAUAUUUCGUCAGCAUUUCGACCUUAACAAAGCCCAGACCGUACACGCAGUCCUCAGCUCCCUCCCCUCAUCCACUCCAUUGUAACCAUUCCUUUCUCAAUGAGUGGUAUUAGUUCAUACCCCCACCUAAGACUUCGCAACACAACCUUCAGUAAGUACUGUGUUCUUUUCUUUUUAAUAUACACCCCCAAUCCAGCCACUGCUCACCGUCAGCAUCCCUUCACAUUCAGUCCAGACCCUGCUCCCAUUUCUUCUCUGGGUGCUACGGUAGCCUCUGAGUUGUCUCUGCUUUCUUUCUUCCUUUGUCCACGGCAACCACAGAGUGAAUAUAUAUUGGGGCUGUAACUGACAUAAGGCAUUCCAUUAGUUAAUGUUUUGCUAUUUAUGUAUACUGCAAAAUGAUCACCACACUGUCUAAUUAACAUCCAUUACCACACAUAGCUACAAUUUUUUCUUCUUGUGAUGAAACUUUCAAGAUCUAUUCCUUUAGCAACUUAAUAUAUCUAUAUUUCAUGUCAUUCCUUGUGCAAAAAAAAAAUGAAACAAUCUUCUGUGGCAUCCUGUUAUACUUAGGAAAAACCAUUCCAGACUCUCUGGUGGCGUGCUGAGUCUCCCAUCUGUCCCUGCAGUCUCAUACUGCAUCCCCUCUGCCCUACUCAUCAUGCUUUCUCUGCACUAGGUGUCCUGAAACAGAAUGAGCUUUUUCCUGCGUCCGGGCUUUAAACUUGCCUGGAGUCCUCUUCCUACAGAGUUGUCAUGUGUCUGGCUCCUUCUCAGCAUUCUAGCCUCUCCUCAGAAAGGUUUCUCCUAACUGCCCUAUCCAGAUCACUACUGUCCGUCACCCUUGGCUUAUUUCCUCAUCCCUACUGAACAGUAUCUGAAAUUACAGUAUUUACUUAUUUAUUUAACAUGUUUAUUGCCUGAAUUUUUCCAUUGGAAUAUAAGCUCCAUAAAAUCAGGGUACUCGUUUGCCUCACACCCUGGUAUAUUCCCAGAUCCUAGAACAGUGCCUUAUAUACAGGAGGACUCAAUCCAUGUGUGUUGAAUGAAGGAAGGAAUAAGGAAAGAAAUGACUCCUUUGAUUACAAAUAACUCAACUGAAAUAUGCUUAAGUAAAUAAAAGAAUAUAGAGGUUCAAGUACUUGAAAAGUCCAAAGGUAAAUGUAGCUUCAGGCACACCUGGAUCCAGGAGUUCAAAUGCUGUCAUAGGUCCUCCUCUCUCCAGCUAUUGGCCAUGUAUUCCUCCAUGUUAGACUGCGGUCCCUUCAUGGCCUCAAGGCGCCGGCAACGUCUCCACGUUUCCCUCUUCUAGUUGACAAGCGGCAGCAUCUCCACGUUUCCCUCUUCUAGUUGACAACCACAGGAGAAAACAGUGAUUUUCUCCUCCUAACAGAGUCACAGAGUUCUAGUUCUGAGUCCCACUGGAUCUGACUGCACCACGUGCCCUUCCCUGAACCAAAACCCAUGGCCAAGAAACGUGCUGCUCUAGUUGAGGGCUUGGCAAUGGCAACCCGUGGGCCAAAUCCAGUCUGCAUUGUUUUUGUAAAUAAAGUUCUGUGGGAAAACA